GUCGAAUGUUUCAUGUAAGAAAAAGAAAUUGAAUCUAAUGCUGAGGGAAUGUAUAUCAACAUAUAUUUCAAAUUACUUAGGUCCAAAUUUUAAUAUAAUAUAGUUACAUGAUACUUUUUUCAUCUAAACUAAAUGUAUGCUUAUGUCUUUGUAAAAUGUAUGUACUAGUCAUGAACUCAAUACUUCUUCUAUCAAAAAAAAUUGCUAUGCUGUUGAUUCUGCCAUAUCUUUUUUUUUUUUUGAGGAUAUCUAAACUUUUUUUCGGUUCUCCGGCAUAAAUCUGGUAAAAACAAACAGUGUAGAGAUGGUGUUGUCUUGGGCUGAAAUUAGUUUCCCGACGAGGGUAUAGGCCUUUACAGCCCAUUAGAUAAAAGGAGGAGGCACCAUGAGUUCUUCAGUGGACAGGCCCAAACUAAAGUUUGAAACUCAACGAAGCAAGUGCGCAACACGCGGUCCUGGGAGCAUGGAACACUCUACCAGCAUGACCAGGUGAUAGAUAAUCGCAUUAAAAAAAGUGUCCUAGAGAAGUAUAGCUGAGCUAUAUUGCAGUUUAAAGGAAAAAUACAUAAUGGAUUAUAUUUAAUAAACAUAUAUAUUUCAACAAAU
rnacentral:lncRNA from 1 species